CGCGUAGGCGGUCUUAUAAGUCAGGUGUGAAAGCCCGGGGCUUAACCCCGGAAGUGCAUUUGAAACUAUAAGACUUGAGUAUGGGAGAGGGAAGUGGAAUUCCUGGUGUAGCGGUGAAAUGCGUAGAUAUCAGGAGGAACACCGGUGGCGAAGGCGACUUCCUGGACCAAUACUGACGCUGAGGCGCGAAGGCGUGGGGAGCAAACA
rnacentral:rRNA from 1 species